rnacentral:misc_RNA from 1 species
AUUAUUUUCUCAUGAACAAUCGCGUGUUUGAACCCUAGUCAGAAUGUAUCCAGUGGGUCAUGGACAACCCCUUGUUCCCGGUCCAGGGCCCGUUGGUCCUCCGGUUCAACAACCAUCAGUUGGUCCAGGAACUAUUGGGGUUCCUCUACCCCUUGGCCCAAGCACUGGCCCACCCUUAGGUCAGACCCUGGUUCCUAACCCCCUGACAACCCUGGGAGGGGGAUUGCCCCCUAUAGGGACAAUAUUAUCACCUCAGACGACCCUGACCAGCUCGACCGGUGUCCUUUCACCGGUGGAUUCUGGUAGUCCGACCCAAUCAAUGGAUCAACCUCACUUCACAUGUCCUCGGCGGCCAAACCUCGGCCGGGAGGGAAGAUCCAUCCAACUUAGAGCAAAUCACUUUCAGAUAUCGAUGCCACGAGGAUAUAUACAUCAUUAUAAUAUAAACAUUCAACCCGACAAAUGUCCAAGGAAAGUUAACAGAGAUAUUAUUGAAACCAUGGUACAAAAAUACAGCAAAGUGUUUGGAAACAUGAAACCAGUAUUUGACGGACGAAAUAAUAUGUACACAAGAGACGCCUUGGUGGCCAUCGGCAACGAACAGAUCGAAUUUGAGGUAACACUGCCGGGUGAGGGCAAGGAUCGGGUGUUUAGGGUCGCGAUGAAGUGGACUGCACAGGUGGAUUUAUACUCACUUGAGGAGGCUUUGGAAGGACGAAGGAGAGAUAUACCAUACGAUGCCAUUCAAGCCUUAGACGUUGUUAUGCGUCAUCUGCCUUCUAUGAGAUAUACGCCGGUUGGCCGCUCAUUUUUCUCUGCCCCAGAUGGAUAUUAUCAUCCCCUGGGCGGCGGACGAGAGGUUUGGUUUGGAUUCCAUCAGUCUGUCCGCCCGUCACAGUGGAAGAUGAUGCUCAAUAUUGAUGUGUCCGCCACCGCCUUCUACAAGUCCCAGCCCGUGAUUGAGUUUAUGUGCGAGGUGCUGGAUAUCAGGGAUGUGAACGAGCAGCGUAAACCCUUGACCGACUCUCAGAGGGUCAAAUUCACCAAGGAAAUCAAGGGACUUAAGAUUGAGAUUACUCACUGUGGCGCAAUGCGGCGGAAAUAUCGAGUUUGUAACGUGACCAGACGUCCAGCUCAAAUGCAAAGUUUCCCGCUUCAACUUGAAAACGGGCAAACUGUUGAGUGUACAGUGGCUAAAUACUUCUUAGAUAAAUACAAGAUGAAACUGAGAUAUCCUCAUCUCCCCUGUCUCCAGGUAGGCCAGGAGCACAAGCAUACCUACCUACCCCUGGAGGUGUGUAUUAUAGUACAGGGACAGCGCUGUAUCAAGAAAUUAACAGAUAUGCAAACCUCGACGAUGAUCAAAGCGACGGCCAGGUCUGCCCCGGACAGGGAGAGAGAGAUCAACAACUUGGUGAGGAAAGCUGACUUCAACAACGACCCAUAUGUCAAGGAGUUCGGGUUGAACAUAUCACACAACCUGAUGGAGGUGAGAGGACGUGUCCUCAAUCCUCCGAAACUCCAGUAUGGAGGCAGAACACGACAACAGGCGCUUCCCGCCUCUGGAGUUUGGGACAUGAGAGGGAAACAGUUCUUUGCCGGAGUAGAAAUCAGAGAAUGGGCAAUUGCAUGCUUCGCACCCUCAAGAACAGUGAAAGAAGAUGCUUUGCGUAAUUUCACCCAGCAGCUGCAGAAGAUUAGUAAUGACGCAGGAAUGCCGAUAAUCGGUCAACCAUGCUUUUGUAAAUACGCAAACGGACCUGAUCAGGUUGAACCAAUGUUCCGGUACUUGAAAACACAGUUCCCAAGACUCCAGCUGGUCGUUGUGGUACUCCCGGGCAAGACACCGGUCUACGCUGAGGUCAAGCGAGUUGGAGACACCGUGCUCGGUGUGGCCACGCAGUGCGUGCAGGCUAAGAAUGUCAACAAAACAUCUCCACAGACCUUAUCAAAUCUUUGUCUAAAGAUUAAUGUGAAACUAGGAGGAGUCAAUUCAAUUCUUCUGCCGUCAAUCCGACCAAAGGUGUUCAAUGAGCCAGUGAUCUUCCUUGGAGCUGAUGUAACCCAUCCACCUGCAGGGGAUAACAAGAAACCCAGUAUAGCUGCUGUAGUUGGAAGCCAGGACGCUCAUCCUUCAAGAUACGCGGCAACAGUGCGCGUUCAGCAGCACCGUCAGGAGAUAAUCCACGAACUGUGCGCUAUGGUGAAGGAACAUCUAACCAUGUUCUACAAAUCUACCGGGGGAUACAAACCACAUAGGAUAAUUAUGUACAGGGACGGAGUAAGUGAAGGACAGUUUAUGCAUGUUCUCCAGCACGAGCUCACAGCUAUCAGAGAAGCAUGUAUAAAGUUGGAGCCUGAUUAUAAACCUGGAAUCACAUUUAUCGUGGUUCAGAAGAGACAUCAUACAAGACUAUUCUGCUCAGAUAAGAAGGAACAAAGCGGUAAGAGUGGAAAUAUACCUGCUGGAACUACAGUUGAUAUUGGUAUCACGCAUCCUACGGAAUUCGAUUUCUAUCUCUGCUCACAUCAAGGUAUCCAGGGAACCUCCCGACCUAGCCACUACCACGUCCUCUGGGAUGAUAAUAGGUUCGAGGCUGAUGAACUCCAGCAGCUCACAUACCAACUCUGCCACACAUACGUGAGGUGCACGCGAUCCGUCUCCAUCCCUGCUCCAGCGUACUACGCACAUCUGGUUGCAUUCAGAGCCAGAUAUCAUCUGGUUGAGAAGGAACAUGAUAGUGGUGAAGGAAGCCACCUAUCUGGAGGCUCGGAAGACCGUGCGCCAGCUGCCAUGGCGCGCGCCAUUACUGUGCAUGCGGAUACAAGGAAAGUUAUGUACUUUGCAUAAACGCACAUCAAUGCUCAUCGGCCCCACACAUUCACUAAUACUUAGAAGAUUAGAGUUGUAUAUUGCACAGUGUACCUGGAACUUCCCCUCCCCCUUCAGUGGCAACAAGGGGGUUCAGCCAGUAGAAGGCUUUCAUGUACAUUGUACACAGCGCCGUAUUGAUCACAAACGGUACAUAGAUUGUCCCUGAUAAAGGCAAGAGUCAACAGUUUAAAGAAGAAUUAAAAUCAAUAGUAAACCUGAUAUGUCUCCAUUCUCUUUAUCCUGCUCCAUUGUUAUUUCCCUCCGUUCUCCCUCAUAAUAAUGUAAUCACUGUGAAAGCAAACCAAUUUUUACACCAACACAUCUUCUCUACUAGUACCUAUGUAAUUCGCAUUCUCCUCGUACUGUACUGUACAAUUGUACACUACACUGUACACGGUACUUGCAUAGUUAUUUCACUGCUUUGCCAAAUCUGUUGUUAGUUGCCUAAUUGUUAUUAAUUGAUUGUUUGUGCUUAAUUAUGAUGUACAUAGGAUGCUGUACAAUGUAAGUGUACAACACAAAUGUUUCUUUUUAUACGCUGGAUUGCGUUUAAGCAUUAUAGUACAAAAUUUUUAUCUCAUCAUGUACCUUUUUUACAGCAUCAGUAGUGUACAACGUUAAGUGUACUGCAAUUAAUUUCUGUUCAUGAAAAUUUCUAAAGAUGUAAAUAUGUUCAAAUAUCAUUGACAUAGCUCUGUGUUAAAAAAUUUAUUAGUCCGCUAGAACUGUGAGCUGAUCUGUGAGCUAUGUAUACCUCGGUUGACCUUCAUGAAUGAUUGGUUGACACUAAGCGCGGAGAUCAAGCCUGCCCUAGGUAUACCCACGUGUCACGUGAUCACUCUGACCGCGCUUCAGGCGCGCUCUGUAUCUCCAGCCUGCCCGAGCACGUGCCAGGGGCGCUUCACGCCACGUUGAUCUCCGUUGCUUUGAAAGUAACCAGUGUAUUCACAAACCCGGAGUACAGAAAGAACUUGUAUCCGGAGAAAUUUAACCCAACCUUGAAUCCUCUUUUAAAUCUUUUACUCCUCUCACUUGUACACCAUGUACCUGUACACAAUUUACAUGUACAAGCUUUUCUCCCUAUUUUAUGUACACAUGGUUGUGUGUGUACUGCAUGAAUGUUUGUAUGUAAAACUGGAUCCGGUAAUAUCCUGCCUAGCAACAACGUGGAAUUAGUUUAUAAGGGUUAAUAUAUAUAUCAAUAUAUAUAUAUUAUAUUCGUUUCUAGUAUCAAUUAUAUUUGUCUUUUCUGUCACACAAGCAUUUUAUUCCAUUUUAUUUGUUACAGGGUUAACAUUAUUCAUGUCGAUAUAAAAGUCUUAUUACAAAUGCAACUAUUUGGUCCAGUAAAGCUGAUCUUCAAUAAUUCUAAAUAUAUUGAAAUAUCAUUUUUUGUAUUUUUUUUUUGGCAAUAUAUUUGUUUGUAAUA